CAAACAAGUCAAGCAUGGAAGAAAAGCGUAGCUCGGAUGCAAGGUAAGUGAAACUUACAUAAUUGUGUAGAUUACUUGUUCAUUCUAUACGUUAUAGAUGCAAUAAUGCUAAUAUUGAAAAUAUGGAUUUCCGACGUGAUUGAUACGAGUCGGAACAUAUAAAGAUGAUAAAAACCAUGGUUUAUGGCAAAAAGGGGAUUCGGUAAUGAAAUCCGGGACGGGAUGGAUGUAUGAAUUAGAAGUCAAAAACCAUGUUUUUGAUUUAAUAGGCAACGUUGGGCAUAUAGGCCGAACGGGUCAAAUGGUGGUGAUAACACUAUUUGACAAUAUCGACUAAUGCGAUUGUCAAGUCUUGUGUUAACAGGAGCGAUUAGCGAUUCAGUUAAUUUCGCCCACACUAAGUGUGAUGAUAAAAGCGAGGUAUAAAUUGGGUCUAUAUGUUGACCCUAGCCAGGUGCUUUCUGGGAUGCCGGAGGACGAUCAAGCUCAGCGAAGAACCGAACACGAUAAAGAUACACGCUUCCGCGCAUUGCAACGUUGUAGAUUUUAAUCAACGAAUUCGAUCACGUUUUGUAGAAUAACGGAUGAUUUGUAAAAGUUUUUAAUAAACCCGUAUUUAUAUAGCAUGUGUAGUCUUAACUACACAUCUAAUUGUUGGUA